CAAUAACGUAUAUUAAAGUUGUUGCAGUUAAAAAGCUCGUAGUUGGAUUUCUGGUGGGAGCGAUCGGUCUGGCGCUUAGCGCGAGUACUUGCAUCGUCUCCGGCCAUCCUUGGGGAGAGUCUGUCUGGCAUUAGGUUGUCGGGCAGAGGAUCCUCAUCGUUUACUGUGAAAAAAUUAGAGUGUUCAAAGCAGGCUUAUGCCGUUGAAUAUAUUAGCAUGGAAUAAUAAGAUAGGACUUUGGUACUAUUUUGUUGGUUUGCGCACCAAAGUAAUGAUUAAUAGGGACAGUUGGGGGUAUUCGUAUUCCGUUGUCAGAGGUGAAAUUCUUGGAUUUACGGAAGACGAACUACUGCGAAAGCAUUUACCAAGGAUGUUUUCAUUAA
rnacentral:rRNA from 1 species